CAAAAACAUCUUUUCUUGUUAGUUUUUGAAGUAUGGCCUGCCCGCUGACAUUGAGUGUUGAAGGGCCGCGGUAUUUUGACCGUGCAAAGGUAGCAUAAUCAUUAGUUCUUUAAUUGUGAUCUGGAAUGAAUGGCUUGACGAGGCACGGGCUGUCUUAGUGUUGAAUGUUUUAUUGAAUUUGGUCUUUGAGUUAAAAUUCUUAAAUGUUUUUGUGGGACGAGAAGACCCUAUAGAGUUUGACAUUUGGUUUAUUUCCUGUUUGGCUGUUUGUUUGUUUUGUUGGUGAGUGGGCUUUUUGUUUUGUUGGGGUGAUGAGAGGAAUAUGUUUAACUCCUCUUGGUUUUGGUUAUAUUGAUUUAUAGUUGUUUGAUCCAUUUAUUUUGAUUAUAAGACUAAAUUACCUUAGGGAUAACAGCGUUAUCUUCCUUGAGAGUUCUUAUCGGCAGGGAGGUUUGCGACCUCGAUGUUGGAUUAAGGUGAAUUUUGGUGUAGGGG
rnacentral:rRNA from 1 species